rnacentral:rRNA from 1 species
GAUGAACGCUGGCGGCGUGCCUAAUACAUGCAAGUCGAGCGAACGGACGAGAAGCUUGCUUUUCUGAUGUUAGCGGCGGACGGGUGAGUAACACGUGGAUAACCUACCUAUAAGACUGGGAUAACUUCGGGAAACCGGAGCUAAUACCGGAUAAUAUUUUGAACCGCAUGGUUCAAAAGUGAAAGACGGUCUUGCUGUCACUUAUAGAUGGAUCCGCUCUGCAUUAGCUAGUUGGUAAGGUAACGGCUUACCAAGGCAACGAUGCAUAGCCGACCUGAGAGGGUGAUCGGCCACACUGGAACUGAGACACGGUCCAGACUCCUACGGGAGGCAGCAGUAGGGAAUCUUCCGCAAUGGGCGAAAGCCUGACGGAGCAACGCCGCGUGAGUGAUGAAGGUCUUCGGAUCGUAAAACUCUGUUAUUAGGGAAGAACAUAUGUGUAAGUAACUGUGCACAUCUUGACGGUACCUAAUCAGAAAGCCACGGCUAACUACGU